rnacentral:ncRNA from 2 species
CCAAUAGCGUAUAUUAAAGUUGUUGCAGUUAAAAAGCUCGUAGUUGAAUUUCGGGGUUAGCAGGUCGGUCGUGCCAUCGGUAUGAACUGGUCUCGCUGAUCCCUCCCUCUUGACGAACUGUGAUGCCAUUAAUUUGGUGUCGCAGGGAAUCAGGACUGUUACUUUGAAAAAAUUAGAGUGUUUAAAGCAGGCUCACGCUUGAAUACAUUAGCAUGGAAUAAUGAAAUAGGACGUUUGAUCCUAUUUUGUUGGCUUCUAGGAUUGACGUAAUGAUUAAUAGGGAUAGUUGGGGGCAUUAGUAUUCAAUUGUCAGAGGUGAAAUUCUUGGAUUUAUUGAAGACUAACUACUGCGAAAGCAUUUGCCAAGGAUGUUUUCAUUAAUCAAGAACGAAAGUUAGGGGAUCGAAGACGAUCAGAUACCGUCGUAGUCUUAACCAUAAACUAUGCCGACUAGGGAUCGGAUGAUGUUAAUUUUUUAAUGACUCAUUCGGCGCCUUACG